AGUAAUUAUAUUUAUACUAACUUGCCUAGGUCGUAUUAUAUACAUCUUAUAUCUAAAGUAAAUAUCGAUAGUUUAGGGACGUAAUAGUACACAUAAUUCGUCAUAUAGUCCACUAGUGGUAUUUUGAAUACAUUAUUUUGAUAUUAAUCCUAACAUCUCCACUUAUCAAAAUUAUCUAAACCUUGGUACAUAUGUACCUUAUCAAACUAAUAGAAGCAAAACACUCAAUAGUAUAAAGUCGUCCAUUAAACAAUGCUUUGAAUAUGUGACCUUUUUACAAAAUAGUUAUGUUUUACACUACUUAAUCCCUUGGUCAGUAAGUCUGCUGGCAUUUCACCGCUUCUCUAACAAAAUGAUGGCGCACAUCUAUGUGCUUGGUUCAUUUAUGAUAUAAUAGGUUUUCUGAUAACUUCUGAGCACCUUGAUUACAAUAUUACUACAUAAUCACAAUUGCCUACAAUUUCACAAAACAAGUUUCUUAAAUAAAUAGCCUCUUUACAGGCUUGAGCUAUCGCCAGAUAAACAGCCUCAGUACUUUACAAAGCUAUAGUGCGUUGUUUUUUACAUUCAUAUGAAAUAACGGUUCCUGAGAGUUUAAAGUAGAAACCUGUGUAAGAUUUCUUAUAUAGGGUGUUUCUUUCUUUUUUAUCAUUUUCCUUAACGUUUUAUUUUCUAUUUUGUGGAUUUAUACCACAGAAACACGAUUCUUUUUCUAAUCCUAAAAAGGAGUCAAGUGAUUUUAACAAUACGAAAGAAAUACAAAACGGAUGCUGCUGAAAAUCAUGCGAUGAUGCGUUGCAAUGUCGUAUUUCCCUGUGUGAUCCUACCACAAGGUUUACUUAAUUUUCUUGUGAUAUAGUGCCCCAUCAUCUCCUGCAGGCUUGCUACUUAUUGCAGAAACACUGUAUCUUUAAUGGUUUUUAAUUUCAGUAAUUUUUUGUCAGAAAAGUUGCAAACUUUGUACACUUGAUGUAAUAAAACUAGAACGAACUUGAACAUUUUAAAGAUCAACAACGGAACCAACCAAGCGCGAGAUGACGAACAAAAAGGGCAGCAUUCUUAGGAAGAAAGAUAUGGAUAUGGAAUAGACAAAGAAGAGGUCUGAUUGAAGGAAAGAUGAGUAAGCCCUUUCGUGACUAGAAAAGCAUGACAGAGAGAGAAAUUGAUGGAUUGAAGAAAGAAAAAGAUAAUAUAAAAAUGAUUGGAUGGAACAUAACAGGAAUCAGGAAUAAAGAUAAAAAGUUUUGGAACAAGUUAAAAUCAUACGAAAUAAUAUUAUUAAGUGAUACAUGGUUAGAAAAGAAAGAUAACGAUUAUAUAGAAAGAAAUAUGGGUAAUGGGUAUAAUAUAAAUAUCUAUAGUUAGUGCUGAGAAAAUAAAAAAAGGGAAGAGUAAUGAGAGGAAUAAUGAUUGAGGUAAAAGAAAAUUGGAGAUGACGGUGAAAGAAAUAGAUAAAGUGGUAAUUAUUAUAGAGGGAAAAGAAAAAAAGAGAGACUGGGUUUUUGUGUUUGCAUAUUUAAAUGAA